CCCCGGUAAACGGCGGCCGUAACUAUAACGGUCCUAAGGUAGCGAAAUUCCUUGUCGGGUAAGUUCCGACCUGCACGAAUGGCGUAAUGAUGGCCACGCUGUCUCCACCCGAGACUCAGUGAAAUUGAAAUCGCUGUGAAGAUGCAGUGUACCCGCGGCUAGACGGAAAGACCCCGUGAACCUUUACUACAGCUUGGCACUGAACAUUGACCCUACAUGUGUAGGAUAGGUGGGAGGCUUUGAAGCACGUACGCCAGUAUGUGUGGAGCCGUCCUUGAAAUACCACCCUUGUAGUGUUGAUGUUCUAACGUCGACCCCUUAUCGGGGUUGCGGACAGUGCCUGGUGGGUAGUUUGACUGGGGCGGUCUCCUCCCAAAGAGUAACGGAGGAGCACGAAGGUGGGCUAAUCACGGUUGGACAUCGUGAGGUUAGUGCAAUGGCAUAAGCCCGCUUGACUGCGAGAAUGACAAUUCGAGCAGGUGCGAAAGCAGGUCAUAGUGAUCCGGUGGUUCUGAAUGGAAGGGCCAUCGCUCAACGGAUAAAAGGUACUCCGGGGAUAACAGGCUGAUACCGCCCAAGAGUUCAUAUCGACGGCGGUGUUUGGCACCUCGAUGUCGGCUCAUCACAUCCUGGGGCUGAAGUCGGUCCCAAGGGUAUGGCUGUUCGCCAUUUAAAGUGGUACGCGAGCUGGGUUUAGAACGUCGUGAGACAGUUCGGUCCCUAUCUGCCGUGGGCGUUGGAAGAUUGAAGGGGGCUGCUCCUAGUACGAGAGGACCGGAGUGGACGAACCUCUGGUGUUCGGGUUGUGUCGCCAGACGCAUUGCCCGGUAGCUAAGUUCGGAAUCGAUAACCGCUGAAAGCAUCUAAGCGGGAAGCGAGCCCUGAGAUGAGUCUUCCCUGAUACUUUAAGUAUCCUAAAGGGUUGUCGGAGACUACGACGUUGAUAGGUCAGGUGUGUAAGUGCUGUGAGGCAUUGAGCUAACUGAUACUAAUUGCCCGUGAGGCUUAACCAUACAACAC
rnacentral:rRNA from 1 species